AAUUGACAUGCAGCUUCCUUUCUGAUGGGCUCUAACUUCAGCUUUUCGGUCUCAUUCAGAAUAGAGAAAUUAACGUAUUUUACCGGCGGGUGUUUUCAGAUUAAGAAACUCAAAGGGCAGCUGGAGGAGAGACAGAAGAUUGGCAAACUAGACAAUCUUCGAUCUGAAGAUGAUGUGUUGGAAAACGGGACAGACGUGCAUGUAAUGGACCUACAAAGUAAAUGUCAAUUCUUGUGUAGAAGUAAAUGCUUUCAUAUGUGCUGUUUUAGUAUAACUGCGCUGGCAGAGAAAACUGUCACGGCAAAGAAUGCCCUCAUUCCCUCACAUCCCCACAAAAGCCCUUGAAAAUAAAAGCACAAGGAUGGGUAGGUAGACAGAACAAUGGUGUUUCUCUCUGAGCCUAUGAAAUAGAACAGGUGCCCAAAAACGCGCACCAAGAUACCACCACAUGUUGUGCUGAUGGAAACCACAUUUACUUUGCUGGAUACAGCAAUCUUUUGAUCUGUUGAUUGUGUGAAAAAAAAUGAAAGGCUUUUUUUUAUGCCAAUAAACUAGAAACAGUCUUAAGGGAGAUAAAAUGACGCCCAGUCUCUCUCCCGCUUUUCCCUACCCCCCAUCUCUUUGUCUUCUUCACUCGUAGGCACUCUCUUGCCUGAGGUCUCCUGCCCUAAGCACCGGGGCGGAAGGCACUUUCCCAGCCUGGGUUCAUGGGGAGAGAGUGCCUUCUCCUACUCUCAGCUCUGGGAGGUUGUGGAGGCAAGGCCAGAACUAACAGAUUUGCGAGAUGAUUACAAAGUAAGGGCUUGGUUCCCAGUAACUAUUGUUUUAAUAUUUGAAAAGCCCAAGAGCUUAACAGAUUUUCCUUCUCUUUCAACCUUUAGGGGAUGCCAACAGACAGAUCAGCGACCUCAAAUUUAAACUUGCAAAAUCUGAGCAAGAGAUAACUGCAUUAGAACAAAAUGUAAUAAGGUUAGAGAGUCAAGUAUCACGUUACAAAUCAGCGGCUGAAAAUGCAGAAAAAAUAGAAGAUGAACUUAAGGCAGAAAAACGGAAACUCCAAAGAGAGCUCCGCUCUGCAUUGGAUAAAACAGAAGAGCUCGAGGUGAGCAACGGCCACUUAGUGAAGCGUCUGGAAAAAAUGAAAGCAAAUCGUAGUGCACUCUUGUCCCAGCAGUAAAUUCCAGCUCUGAAAUUUACUGUCACUGGUUGGUGACUGGAGAGCAUUGUUUCAUAGGCUUUUCUCUGUCCUGUCUGGGAGCGCUGCUUCUUCCCCUGCCUUCUGAGAGACGAAGACUGUGGCGAGCUUGGCGCUUAGAGGCUCCCGUGCCAUGGCUCACCCCAGGGAGCCCCAGCAGCCACCAGGUGCCUCUGUCUGCAGACCCCUGGCCCGAGCUGGGGCCAACGCUCAGAACCUGCAGGUACUUCAUAAGCACACAGGGGCCUCGAGGGAGCUCUGUGUCUGACCGCACAGCAGCCUCUGAAUGCCCCUGGAAAUGAUGAUCAAAGUAAAGAUUCAGUUGGGACUUGAGUUGUUUUUUUUUUUUUCAUGUGUCUUGCUGAAGAUUAAGGGGAAAUGUUACAGUGUUGGGACUUCCUUUCAUGGCAGAAUCUACAAUUUGAGCGACUUCAGUAGUAUCUCUUAGUCUGCGCUUUUCAUACACAAAACACUGUGGAACCACAAGCCAUUACCAAGCAAAACUCUUUCACUGGAAACAAGGGGGCAGUCUAGAAGUAAAAGUGACCUUAAGAAGACUCUUUACAGGCAACAAAUGAAGCUUUUCUAAGGGAUUUUUGCAUCAGUUCAGUCAUAAGAAUACUUUUUUCCAGGGUAAUUAGGCAAUAGCUUCACUGAAAAUGACAGCUUUUCAUUUGCAUUAUUUAAUCCUUAUAUUUGGAAUUGAAGUUGUUAACUUCUUUUAAAGAAUGUACUAUUAGAAAAAUUAAAAAUGAAAUGUUGAGAG
rnacentral:sRNA from 1 species